GGGGAUUUAGCUCAGUGGCAUAAGCACCUGCCUUGCAAGCAGGUGGUCGUGAGUUCAAUCCCCG
rfam:Cavia porcellus supercont2_32 genomic scaffold, whole genome shotgun sequence.